rnacentral:rRNA from 1 species
ACGUAGGGUGCUAGAGUUGUCCGGAUUUACUGGGUGUAAAGGGUGCUCAGGUGGGUUUGUAAGUCAGAGGUGAAAUCCCAAAGCUUAACUUUGGAGCUGCCUUUGAUACUGCGAGCCUAGAGUUUGAGAGAGGGCAAUGGAAUAUCUGGUGUAGCAGUGAAAUGCGUAGAUAUCAGAUAGAACACCAAUGGCGAAGGCAGUUGCCUGGCUCAAAACUGACGCUAAAGCACGAAAGUGUGGGGAGCAAACAGG